rnacentral:rRNA from 1 species
UACGAAGGGGGCGAGCGUUGUUCGGAAUUACUGGGCGUAAAGCGCACGUAGGCGGAUUGCUAAGUCAGGGGUGAAAUCCUGGAGCUCAACUCCAGAACUGCCCUUGAUACUGGCGGUCUCGAGUCCGGGAGAGGUGAGUGGAACUGCGAGUGUAGAGGUGAAAUUCGUAGAUAUUCGCAAGAACACCAGUGGCGAAGGCGGCUCACUGGCCCGGUACUGACGCUGAGGUGCGAAAGCGUGGGGAGCAAACAGG